CCUACGGGUGGCAGCAGUGAGGAAUAUUGGUCAAUGGUCGGGAGACUGAACCAGCCAAGCCGCGUGAGGGAGGAAGGUACAGAGUAUCGUAAACCUCUUUUGUCAGGGAACAAAGACUGGGACGCGUCCCCGGAUGAGGGUACCUGAAGAAAAAGCAUCGGCUAACUCCGUGCCAGCAGCCGCGGUAAUACGGAGGAUGCGAGCGUUAUCCGGAUUUAUUGGGUUUAAAGGGUGCGCAGGCGGCCUGUUAAGUCAGCGGUAAAAGCCCGGGGCUCAACCCCGGCGAGCCGUUGAAACUGGCAGGCUCGAGUUGGAGAGAAGUACGCGGAAUGCGCGGUGUAGCGGUGAAAUGCUUAGAUAUCGCGCAGAACCCCGAUUGCGAAGGCAGCGUACCGGCUCCACACUGACGCUGAGGCACGAAAGCGUGGGUAUCGAACAGGAUUAGAUACCCCAGUAGUC
rnacentral:rRNA from 1 species